UCCGCUCCAAAGAAAUCUCUAGAAGAAAGCAAAUCCUCAAGCAACUUCUUCUCCAAAUUUCUCGAAUUCCUCUUCUGUACCGAUGACUUCUCUCCAAUUACACUGCUCCGUUCACUUCCUCCGUCCUAAACCCCGUCUUCGCUACUCUCCUCCUAUCUUCACUCCCCGCGCCUGCCACUUACCCGGAAAAUUCAGUUCCCGUGAUAGUUUUAGAGUCAGAGGAGCUAAAGCUAAUUCGUUCCGUUGCUUCGCUUAAUCGGACACGAAGGAGGAAGUGAGUUUUGCUGAGAAAGAGGAACGGCCUUCGUUCGAUAUCAAUCUCGCCGUUGUCGUCGCCGGUUUUGCCUUCGAAGCCUACGCUUCAUCUCCGGAAAAAAUCGGGAAACGAGAGGUUAAUGCGGCUGGUUGUAAUACUCUUUACCUUUCUGAGUCAUUUGUAAGGGAGGUGUAUGAUGGACAAUUGUUUAUAAAACUUAAAAGAGGAUUUGAUUUUCCUGCCUUGGAUCCGUGGGAACGAUUGAUCCUUAUGUGGUGAUGGACUUGGAUGGUCAGGUUGCUAAAAGCAAAACCAAAUGGG